rnacentral:rRNA from 1 species
GAUGAACGCGGGCGGCGUGCCUAAUACAUGCAAGUCGAGCGAACAGAUGAGGAGCUUGCUCCUCUGACGUUAGCGGCGGACGGGUGAGUAACACGUGGAUAACCUACCUAUAAGACUGGGAUAACUUCGGGAAACCGGAGCUAAUACCGGAUAAUAUAUUGAACCGCAUGGUUCAAUAGUGAAAGACGGUUUUGCUGUCACUUAUAGAUGGAUCCGCGCCGCAUUAGCUAGUUGGUAAGGUAACGGCUUACCAAGGCGACGAUGCGUAGCCGACCUGAGAGGGUGAUCGGCCACACUGGAACUGAGACACGGUCCAGACUCCUACGGGAGGCAGCAGUAGGGAAUCUUCCGCAAUGGGCGAAAGCCUGACGGAGCAACGCCGCGUGAGUGAUGAAGGUCUUCGGAUCGUAAAACUCUGUUAUUAGGGAAGAACAAAUGUGUAAGUAACUAUGCACGUCUUGACGGUACCUAAUCAGAAAGCCACGGCUAACUACGUG